CCGUAAUCCUAAUUUCUCAUGCCGAAACCUAACCAACCCAACCAUAUAACCUAAAUGCUUCAAUUCAACUCUUCCAAUGUGUCUCUAACAAGUUCCAGCAGAGGUUGCAGAGUACCCAUACACUCUAAUAAAGUGACUGGAUGUGUGCUCCCUGCAGCCUAGAGGACAUGCAGGUCAAAAUGUAUGUUUAACACACACACACACACACACACACACACACACACACACACACACACACACACACACACACAC